GUGCUCGCCUGGGCAGCACUCAUACUACAGUGGGAACAAGACGGAUGAUUCGCAUGGGCCUCCUGCACAGGAUGACCUGCAAAUGUGUGAAGCAUUCUGGAGUUUU
rnacentral:snRNA from 1 species